AGGUUGCUGGAAUCAACACAGACUACCUCCAUUCACCUUAUCAGUACACUUUGCAUGUUUUUUGUAUACUUGUCCCCUUUGUGUAUUGCUGCUAAUCUUUCUAUUUCUAGGUUCUGUUGGUUGCAUGCAGAUUGUGCCAGAUGAUUUAUCUGUCUAUGGUCUUAGCAUGGGCUCUGUGCUAAUAUGCAAUUUGUGCUCUUUUUUCCCUCAGGUCAACAGCAGACAGGGUCCUUCCACAACCACAUACUUAUGCCAGUAAAAGCUACAGCUUUUCUCCUCCGAUCCAAGAAGCCUGGACUGCAGUCACCAUCUCAACACACCAACCAAGAGAAAGGCGGCUGGCUCAAUUCAAUAUGGAAAAUUGCACAAUAAAAGUUCCAGGACAUGAAGGCUGCAUACUGUGAACGUCAACCUUCAGGGCACCGUCCUGCGCAGAAGACUUUCUACCCUAAGAGGGAUGGCUGACCGCAGACACUCACAACCAGCACAGACGCCUCCAACCUCAGACUAGGCCCUUCACAGUUGCUGCACUUACCCACCUUCCCCGAGUUUUUGUGUGGUAAUGACAUGUAAAUAUAGUAUAAAGUAAUGUAUCUAGUGUCAUGUGUAAUACAUUGUUUAAAUUGUCCAUACAUUUCAAUGACGGUAAAUAUUGGUGGACACAAUUUGAC